UACCAGCUCCCCGAGUGGUGGGGACGAUUAUUGGGCUUAAAGCGUCCGUAGCCGGCUUGGCAAGUCUUUCGUUAAAUCCAGCGGCUUAACCGUUGGGCUGUGGGAGAUACUGUCAGGCUAGGGGGCGGAAGAGGCCGACGGUAUUCUCGGGGUAGGGGUGAAAUCCUAUAAUCCCGGGAAGACCACCAGUGGCGAAGGCGGUCGGCUAGUACGCGCUCGACGGUGAGGGACGAAAGCUGGGGGAGCGAACCGGAUUAGAUACCCGGGUAGUCCCAGCUGUAAACGAUGCGAGCUAGGUGUUGGGGCGGCUACGUGCCGCUUCGGUGCCGCAGGGAAGCCAUUAAGCUCGCCGCCUGGGAAGUACGGCCGCAAGGCUGAGACUUAAAGGAAUUGGCGGGGGAGCACUACAAGGCGUGAAGCUUGCGGUUC
rnacentral:rRNA from 1 species